UGCGAGUCUUUGUAGUAAUACAAGGCAUACGGCUCAGUAACGCGUAGUUAACCUACCCUAUGGACAAGAAUAAUCUCGGGAAACUGAGCAUAAUUCUUGAUAGAUCAUAAUGCCUGGAAUGGUUUAUGGUUAAAAUGAUUCGUCGCCAUAGGAUGGGACUGCGGCCUAUCAGCUUGUUGGUGAGGUAAUGGCCCACCAAGGCGAUAACAGGUACGGGCUCUGAGAGGAGAAGCCCGGAGAUGGGUACUGAGACAAGGACCCAGGCCCUAUGGGGCGCAGCACGCGAGAAAACUUUGCAAUGUGCGAAAGCACGACAAGGUUAGUCCGAGUGAUUUCUGCUAAAGAGAUCUUUUGCUAGUUAUAAAACCACUAGUGAAUAAGGGGUGGGCAAGUUCUGGUGUCAGCCGCCGCGGUAAAACCAGCACCUCAAGUGGUCAGGAUGAUUAUUGGGCCUAAAGCAUCCGUAGCCGGCUCUGUAAGUUUUCGGUUAAAUCUAUGCGCUCAACGUAUGGGCUGCCGAAAAUACUGCAGAGAUAGGGAGUGGGAGAGGUAGACGGUACUCGGUAGGAAGGGGUAAAAUCCUUUGAUCUAUCGAUGACCACCUGUGGCGAAGGCGGUCUACCAGAACACGUUCGACGGUGAGGGACGAAAGCUGGGGGAGCAAACCGGAUUAGAUACCCGGGUAGUCCCAGCCGUAAACGAUGCAGACUCGAUGAUGCAUUGGCAUAUAGCCAGUGCAGUGUCGCAGGGAAGCCGUUAAGUCUGCCGCCUG
rnacentral:rRNA from 1 species